rnacentral:tRNA from 1 species
GGCCCGGUAGCUCAAUUGGAUAGAGCACUAGCCUCCGAAGCUAGAGGUUUCGGACUCGGAUUCCGAUCGGGCCA